rnacentral:rRNA from 1 species
UGGGGAAUAUUGGACAAUGGGGGCAACCCUGAUCCAGCCAUGCCGCGUGAGUGAUGAAGGCCUUCGGGUUGUAAAGCUCUUUUGGGUGGGACGAUGAUGACGGUACCACCAGAAUAAGCUCCGGCUAACUUCGUGCCAGCAGCCGCGGUAAUACGAAGGGAGCUAGCGUUGUUCGGAAUUACUGGGCGUAAAGGGCGCGUAGGCGGUCUAUCAAGUCAGGUGUGAAAGCCCUGGGCUCAACCCGGGAAUUGCGCUUAAGACUGAUAGUCUUGAAUUCGGGAGAGGGUAGUGGAAUUCCUGGUGUAGGAGUGAAAUCCGUAGAUAUCAGGAGGAACACCGGUGGCGAAGGCGGCUGCCUGGACCGAUAUUGACGCUGAGACGCGAAAGCGUGGGUAGCAAACA